AUGAGCAGAGUAAAGACUCUGAGAAAUAGAGUACAGACAGAAAGUGUCACAACUAAUUGGAAUAGCAGAGAAAAGUGUCCGGAGCUCACCAGGAGAAACAGUAUGAGUGGACAGAGACCCUGUCUGGCUCAUGAUGCAGAUGCGGACAGACCUGUGAAGUGUCAUUCUGAUUUGUCAGAGAGGAUCAAAUAUGAGGUGAGAUAUUCACCACAAAGAGAACAGAAGAGACAAACAAUUGUCAUCAGUUAUGAUAAUAUAUCCUUUUCUACUCAUUAAUAUGAAGUAGUAUUUGGAAAUAAUGAUGAAAGAGAAUCCCUAAACAGUUUUAGUCAUUUGAUCAUUUUUUUCUCUUUAUUGAUUACAGCACAAAACCUCCUGGACCCGUCCUCCUGACAGCAUCUCUAUCAGCAAAACCGAAAUACCUUCAUGAUCAUGUUACCAACAAUCACUCUCAUAGAGCUAAAUCACCAUUGCUUUUCAUUUUCUCAUAAAUCCUAAAUCAAUAAAAACUCCCAACUGAGGCGAGACUGAACA
ensembl:lncRNA